GUCCACGCCGUAAACGAUGACAACUAGAUGUUGGGCGGCUUUUGCUGCUUAGUGUCUUAAGCUAACGCGUUAAGUUGUCCGCCUGGGGAGUACGGUCGCAAGAUUAAAACUCAAAGGAAUUGACGGGGGCCCGCACAAGCGGUGGAGCAUGUGGUUUAAUUCGAUGCAACGCGAAGAACCUUACCUACUCUUGACAUCCUGGGAAGUCUGCAUAAUAGUGGACGUGCCUUCGGGAACCCAGAGACAGGUGCUGCAUGGCUGUCGU
rnacentral:rRNA from 1 species